AAAACAAAACAAAAAUCUCUAUAAUCAUCAUCAAUAAAA
rnacentral:sRNA from 1 species